rnacentral:rRNA from 1 species
GAUGAACGCUGGACGGUAUGCCUAACACAUGCAAGUCGGUACGAGAGUUUUUAACUCUAGUGGCGGACGGGUGAGUAACACGUGAGAAUUUGCCUUUAGGAGGGGGAUAACAAUUGGAAACGAAUGCUAAUACCCCAUAUGCUUUUGAGUGAAACGGAUUUAUCCGCCUAGAGAGAAGCUCGCGGCUGAUUAGCUUGUUGGUAAGGUAAGAGCUUACCAAGGCGACGAUCAGUAUCUGGUUUGAGAGGACGAUCAGACACACUGGAACUGAGACACGGUCCAGACUCCUACGGGGAGGCAGCAGUAAGGAAUCUUCCACAAUGGGCGAAAGCCUGAUGGAGCAACACCGCGUGAAGGAUGAAGGCCCUCGGGUCGUAAACUUCUUUUAUAAGUGAAGAAUAUGACGGUAACUUAUGAAUAAGGGUCGGCUAACUACGUG